UACAGAGGUCUCAAGCGUUGUUCGGAUUUACUGGGCGUAAAGGGCGCGUAGGCGGUCAGCACAAGUCAGUUGUGAAAUCUCCGGGCUUAACUCGGAAAGGUCAACUGAUACUGUGCGACUAGAGUGCGGAAGGGGCAACUGGAAUUCUUGGUGUAGCGGUGAAAUGCGUAGAUAUCAAGAGGAACACCUGCGGCGAAGGCGGGUUGCUGGGCCGGUACUGACGCUGAGACGCGAAAGCGUGGGGAGCGAACAGG
rnacentral:rRNA from 1 species